GAUGAACGCUAGCGGCAGGCUUAAUACAUGCAAGUCGAGGGGCAGCAUGACUGUAGCAAUACAGUUGAUGGCGACCGGCAAACGGGUGCGGAACACGUACAGAACCUUCCUUCGAGCGGGGAAUAGCCCAGAGAAAUUUGGAUUAAUACCCCAUAGUACAACGGAGUGGCAUCACUUUGUUGUUAAAGAUUUAUCACUUGAAGAUGGCUGUGCGGCUGAUUAGGUAGUUGGCGGGGUAACGGCCCACCAAGCCUGCGAUCAGUAACUGGUGUGAGCGCACGACCAGUCACACGGGCACUGAGACACGGGCCCGACUCCUACGGGAGGCAGCAGUAAGGAAUAUUGGUCAAUGGACGAAAGUCUGAACCAGCCAUGCCGCGUGGAGGAUGAAGGUCCUCUGGGUUGUAAACUUCUUUUAUAUGGGACGAAAAAAGGGUUUUCUAACUCGUCUAACGGUACCAUAUGAAUAAGCACCGGCUAACUCCGUGCCAGCAGCCGCCGUAAUAC
rnacentral:rRNA from 1 species